AGCACUCACAAAGAUGGAGCCAAAAACAACACUUGGCUCUGGUGGAAAGCCUAUGGUUCUUAAAAGGGGAUCCUUUUCUAUUCUGUUGCCAUUAUCAGGACCAGGUGAAUGAUUCUGGCUGGUCAGGAUAAUCAGGAACUUUAAACCAAUGAGUAUAACAAUUUGUGAUUUAUUUAAACAGCUCAACUAUAAAAUAAACAAAAUGUAAAAAAGAUUUAAAAAAAGUCAAAUUGGAAAUAAAGUAUAGUUGUCUCAAACACAUUUCACCUGUUGGUUUCCUCAGUUGGUAGCAAAAUAAUGUCAGUGUACAGUCGUGUACAUUAAAUAGCUGAAAUUCCCGGGCUUUUUCACUCUUCAUGGAACGCAUUGUGCAUCCCAUUGGCUUCAGGAGCACCUAAUGAAUAAUUUUCCAUGCUUCCGUCCAGUGGCGUACACACAACCCAUGGGGCCCCGGUGCAAAAACUGAUCUGUGGUUCCCCGCGUGCAACACGUGGCGGCGGGCAGGGGUCGCAGGGCUGCGGCCGCGGUAUGUACGCCAUUGCAUGCAGAUACACAUUCACUUAAAGGACCACUACAGACACCCAGAUCACAUCACCUCAAUGUUUUAACCCUGCAGCUGAAAACAUAGUUUCAGAGAAACUAUGUUUCACUGAGGGUUAAUCCAGCCUCUAGUGGCUGUCUCAUUGACAGCCACUAGAGGAGCCUCCGCGCUUCUCGCUGUGAAAAUCAGUGAGGAGACGCUGAACGUCCAUAGGAAAGCAUUGAGUGGGCGGUUUGAAUGCGCACGCAGCUCUUGCCACGCAUGCGCGUUCGGAGCUGAGAGGCAGAUCGGGGCGGAGAGAUCCCCAGCGCCAAGGGAGUCUGGCGCUGGAGAAAGGCAAGUGCUUAAGACACACACACACACUCUCUCACGAACAGACGCAUACACACUAGUUGACAGAAACACACUCAGUGACACAUACAUACACUCACUAACAGACGCACACAAACUAACACACACACUCACAUACGUUUAAAAAAAAAAAAAAUCCCCCCAGCCUCUCUACCUUUGGGAGUGCUGAGGGGAUUCCCUGCGGUCCAGUGUUGUCACCUGGUGGGCGCGCGAGGGAGCACUCUUCCCUGAGUGCUUCCUGUUCAGCUCCCUCGCGCACUGCGUACUGAUGCCGGAGCCGGAAUACCCUCGCGUGCCUGCCAGCCUUCCCGCCAGGUGACACCAGGGCCAGCCUCGGGGGGCUCCUGGGCCCCCAGGAGAAGAGGCUGGCCACAGUGGCAUACAUACCGGGUCACAGCCGCGACCCCACUAUGUACGCCGCUGCUUCCGUCUUCCUGUCCUCGAAACGCACAAUGAGUUCCAACGUCUGACGUCUACACGUCUUAUGUCGGAUCUGAUUGUUUGAGUGGAAUGCAUCCAUGCAUUCCAAAAGUUCGAACUCUUCUCCCAUUUAGCUAUAAUGAUGUAGUGUUGUCUAUAUUUUCUCUGAUAUCAUCGUUGAGAAAUAUUUUGAAACUUACAUGACUACAUUGCUCAUUUAAAAAAAUAUAAAUCAAUGAAAUAUGUAUAAUAUAUUAAAUUCUAUGUGUGCAUUUAAAAAGCUUAUAAUAAAGAACACAAUAAUAUUCCUAUAUUCUUCUUGUGAAAAAAAUAGAUAAAAUAAUAGUAAUACUAAGUCUUAUACAUAAAAGAAGGGGGUUUAGUAAAAUAAAACAAUGAAGGCCUUUAAUGAAUAGAAGAAUUCCAAAGAGCAGCAGCAGGAAAAGUAAAUGAAAAUUGCAGUCAGGCAGCAGACAGAACUAAACGAUCAAUCUGGAUCUAGAUCAGGAAACAGGCGGGAGCAAUCCUCCAGGGAAUCAGGAACCAGGAACAUAAGCUGAAAAUUAGGGCAAUAGGCAGGUAUACAGCUUUAAUCCCUUAAGGAACAAACUUCUGUAAUAAAAGGGAAUCAUGACAUAUUGUGUCCUUAAGAGGUUAAGCAAAAUAACCAAGCACUAACUGGAAGGUGUGCUGGGUUUAAGUAGGUGGCUAGCAUCACAUGACUGGCCACCUCCCACCAGUAGGUGGAGUACACGGGUUAUAUAAAGAGGUCAGGGACUCGGCACCAUCUUGUUUUACACCAUAGUUGCUGACUAUUAUGGAUCCACAGCUCUCCUCCUUCUCCCUGUGCAGAACCCCGGCGGUGAGAGGUAUAGAAGAAGCCGCCGCGGACCCAGGGUCUCCAGGAGCGGCGAGUACCGCAAUUCUGCCGUAAGGGCGGCACAGGCGCCCAGGGGCAGGUGAGUACCCCGCCGUGCCUUGACAAUAGAUAAGGCCGCAGAGGCAAUUUAAGACAUAGAUAAAAUUUUUGGAAAAGCAUGUCAAUGUAGCCCUAAUAGUAUAGUUGCUUUUGAUAUGUACCCCUACAUUUGUGAUCAAUCUUUUUUUACUCAUAGUCUCCCUGCAGGCUAAGCAUGAUCCGCAGCCAUGAAAUCCUGUGCUGCAUUGUAAAAAAUGUUUAGGACGUCUAAUCCUCAAACUAUUUUGUACUAACACAAACUAUUUUGUACUAACAUAUUUUUCAUAUUUCUACAGCCUCCAUAUAUUAUCUGUGGUUUAGUCAGUACUAUACAUUUUAAGAUGGAAUAAUCUCUCAAAAUGUGCCAAUACUGUUGGAUAAGUCUGCAUGUUUUUUUUUUUUAUUUUGACUGUUAAAAUCACAAACAAAUGGUACACUUUUCUUGUCUUCUAUAAUUUUUUUUUUUGUUUGUUUGUUUUGUAAGUAAAUAAAUCUUUUCUUGGAAUGUUCUUUAUUUCUUCCAUACAUCUCAUAAGUUCUCCUUUGUCAUAACCUUUCUCAGUAAAUUAGUCUUUAAUUCUGUUUGCUUGUACUAUAUAAUUGUGAUCUUGUGUGCAGGGCCGGUGCAAGGAUUUUUGCCGCCCUAGGCAAAAGAAAGAUUUGCCGCCCCUCAACCUCCCCCCCAGGAGUAGUGCCAGUGCUGCACACAGUGUGUGUUUACAUUAAAAAGCCUGCAGGGACAAACUAUAUAGACACCAGAACAACUGUAUUAAGCUGCAGUGGUUCUGGGGACUAUUGUGUCCAUUUAAUGUGAGGUAAAGUAGAGAUUAGUGUCACUAAUAAUAUACUAGAUUGCCUACUUACAAUCAGAUGAGGAUGGUGAUGGGCUCUGGCUGCAGUCUGGCUCCACUGGUCUGGUGUAGAACAGGAUCUCUGGAGGCUGUUUGUAACUGUGGCCACAAAAUUCAAUGUUCUGGGAGAACGGGAAGCAGCUCCAUUUUUUUGGGGCCUCUUACAUAGCUCAAGGUCUGGGCCCCAGGGCCUGACGGGGAGUAUGCCCAUAAAGCCCACCCAUACGUCCACCUACAUGUUCCACCCAUGAGUUCGCUCACAGGGAGUAGAGUGUGUAGGGGAUGUGUUAUGUGUUACUGUAGAUAAUCUAAUGCGUGUGCUUAUGGAAUGUAGUGUAUAGGGAUACCAGUUUGUGUAGGUGAUGCAGUGUUUUUGUAUGUAGUGGAAGCAGUGUGUUUUUGUGUAAGGGAUAGAAAGCAGUGAGUGUUUGUAUGCAUAAGGGAUGAAAAGUGUGCUUCUGUGUAUGUAAGGGAUGCAGUGUGUGUGUAAGAGAUGCAUUGUGUUUCUUUGUGUGUGUAAGAGAAGCAUGUGUGUGUGUAAGGGUUGCAUUGUGUGUUUCUCUGUGUGUAAGGGAAGCAUGUUGUGUUUCUGUGUGUAUAGGGAUGCAUUGUGUGUGCGCGCGGUGUGAAAGAGCUCCCUGUCCUGCCCCCUGUCCUAUAGAGCUCUCCCUUCCAUUCCUUAGAGAUCUCCCCUGACCCUUAGUGGUCUCUCCUCUCCCCCACCACCUCCCUUAGUGGUCUCCUUUUCUCCCCGACUUUCCAUUCGUGGUCUCUCCUCUCCCCCCACCCUCCCCUAGUGGUCUAUCCUCCACCCCCCUCCCUUAGCGGUCUCUCCUCACACCCCUCCCCUAGUGGUCUCUCCACCGCCCCCUCCCUCCUUUAGUGGUCUCUCC